GCCUGGCCACAGCAAGGUACAACGAUCUAGCCAAGUACCUAACAGAUGAACAAAAAAGGAAGGACUCUGAACAAAGGAGGAGCGAAUCUAAGCUAGAAAGCAUCUACAUCGACAAACCUCAGCAGAAUGUGACAGAAGUCGUCAAGGUAUUCACUUUUCACUUUAGGAAUGUAAAAUGUGAAACAUAGGGUUUUAAUUGAUUGCUUUUUAUAUCUAUUGUUUAGGAGAUAAAAUCUCUGCCCUUCCUGAAGAGGUUAACUAACUUGUGGAUGACGAAAAAAAAAGAAGAUGAUGAACUGUUCAUCGCCAGGGAGUACAUAAAACAUUCCAACUGGACUGAAUACGAGCAAAUGAGUGUCGCUGAAUAUUGCUACGUUGCUAUGAUCUUGGCAGAAAGAUUCAUAAACGGAAAAGACAAUCUUGCACACAUUCUGCCACUACUGAAGUAUUUUCACAAUAGAAUAUACCAAUGCAAUCUUAUGGAAUUCAGAGUAAGCUAUGUUGUGGGAUUCAAGGUUCUAGGUUACUAUUUACCUUCUGCUGCUCAUAAUCAUCAGCUUGUACCGAUUCGUAAACUGGAAGAAUUCCAUGUAGCUGUCUCCCAUCAGCGAUCUAUAAUGGAUCACCCCGACGACUACACCGAGGGGAUUUUUCUUCUACCAUAGCCAUAGCCAGUAUAGUAAAUAAAGCCUGCAGUCAUUUUCUGAUGUAAGUCCAGAUAUAACAACAUAUUGUAAACGCAGCCAGAUGGCUGGUUCAUUUUCUAAUAUAAACUGCAUAUAUAUCAGUUAGUCAGUUAAAUGCCUCAUAAAUAUCUAUACCUGAUAUCGUUUGAUCUAUACAUCAUAUAUGCAUCCAAAUUACCAUUUCGUGCGAUUGAAUUGCAUAUUUCACUGAAAAUGCUUCAGAAUUAGUUAAAUCCUACUACAGAUGAAGAGUUCAUGACUCAUUAAACAGUUAUAUCAAUGUAAUGGAAACAUCUCUACUUUCACAAACACAAUUGGAAUCUGAAUAUAGGUUAAGAUAAAGAAACAAAUAGGAAGGGAAUCAUCUGGAAACAUCAGCAAUGUGUUGAACAACUUUAUCUUUUGCUUUAUUUGUUCAUAAUCUUCUUUAUUUAACAUAAUCUUCUUAACCUUUUCUUCUUUUUCUUCCACUAAAACUAAAAAAAACUGGAAGAAUCAGGAUAUAUCUUGUUUCAACGCAGACCUUGAUGACCAAAAUAAGUUGCUAAUUAAACAGAAGCAUAAGCAUUGUACUAAAACUGUACUAUAUUCAUAAUGUGGAAAGAUUGUCAAACUAUGUUUCAAGUAAAAAUUAUAUCUCUUAAAGCAAAUGUAUCAAAUAAAAAGUAAAAACUAGAAUACUGUUUCGAGUAAGUUUAAGUGUGUCGAGACUUAUACUCACUUAUUCCCCUUGAUCUUGAACCAAGCCUCGGCACAAUGCUUAUGAGCAGCAGCCAGAUCAUCCUUGCACGAACAACCUAAUUCAAUGGCAAUGCCAUUCUCCUGGUGAGCAGCAUCCAUCUCAACACUGAGUUGACAAAUUCUACAAUCCCUCUCCGACUGCACGUUCACUUGAACAACCCGGUUGUCAUCAAUCCAACAGUAGUCUGGUUCAACUACAGAACAGGAAACUCUCCUAGAAUCCAAAACCUGACAGAUUUCAUGAUCAGAAGUAGAGUCAUCAUUUGAGCCAUCAGCAGAAUAAAACUUAGAGUAACAAGAAGCCUCCACUACAACUACAUAAAGCAGUAAUAUUUUACCUAUGACAUUUGGACUACAACUACAGCCCUCCACUUUGUGUUUAAUACACACACACACCAAACGGGAAUAAAAUAUCACAAAGGUACAUAAGAAAAAUCAUAACUGUUAUCGAAGUUAACCACCCAGAAAGCAAAUGACAGUGUCAAGUACAACAUAAAGCGAGAAAAGCUUCAAAUUUGCUAAAAUUCUAACAAAAGGGUUUGAAAAAUCAACAAAAUUAUUGAGAAAGAAGCAGAGGUUGAAAACUUCUAGUUGAAAUGGAAAAGGGCAAACAAUCAAAGAAAUUAGGUUUCCAGAGUAAGUUACAAGCAUGAAUAUGCAAUCUUUAUAUUCAAGACACAGAAAAACAAAGAUAAUUGGCAUGACAAAGCCUUCAGGCUGAAUUUGGCCAGGGCAAGUAGAAAACUUUCCGCAUAUUUAUAAUCUAUACUACAAAAAUCUCAGCUGAUGUGUAAGUUUUUUGUUGAUAAUAUAACUAACCUAAUAUCAGAUCAGCACUCAGCAUAAAAACACCCAAAAUUAUAACAAAUAUUACCAAUGACCUCUUGGUCAGAUAGUAUCACCCUUGCCCAAUUUAUCGGAAAUGGGGGGUUGGAAUCUUGUCUAAAACAAGAUGUGUGUGCUUGUAUGUAAUUACCCCCAAAAGAAUUAUUGUUGCUCUCAAAUCCAGGGUUGGACAUACAAGUCUUGCACUUCCACGAAUCUAUAUUAGUUUUUUUUUCUCUUCUUGUCUAUCAGCUGCAAAACCUUCUUUACUUCUCUUUUAUCUGCAAUACAAUAAGAUAUUUAAUCAUCAAAAACCAAGAACUCUUUGGUAACUGAAGAUGCAUAAAUAACUAGAUUCAUCUUUUACGAAGCGAGAGGCUAAGAAUCCACAACAAUGAGUCUAAGAAUUAAAGACAUUGUUUUCAUCCGAUCUCAACCUAAAUAAGAGAGUAUAUGGGUUUUGAGGAUAUACAACUGAAAAUGUAUGAUUGGUCAGAAAGAUGAAAACUCAACAUUAUUAACAAGAAAUAAAAUAGAAAGUUGUAAACUUGAAAAGGUGCAAUUAAACCUAGGAGGAUUUCUUUGGGAAUCAUUAAUCCAAGCCCUAUUAAAGUAAGUGCAGAGUCCAGAGGUUCUAAGAAAAAGUAAUGUGUUUGAACCAGAAAGAAAAGAACCCUAAGAGAAGGGUAAUCAUUUUUAUUAUACAGAACAUAAAUUGUUAAUUCAGUGUGUGUGUGUGUGUGUGAACAAAAAAAGAAGCACUUUUAAUCCAGGAGGCCACAAACCAAAAUUAAUUGCAACAAUGGAUCCAAAAGAGGGAAGGGGGAGCUUUGCCUCAAUUUGAUGAGAUCUAAACCAAAAGCUAGCAUAAUAAACAUAAAAGAAACAGACAGUUGCGAGCUCCAAAUUGAUUUAAAAAUAGAGCAAUCAAUCAAUCGACUGAAGAAAUUGGGAUGAUAAGGAAAAUAGCAACAACAUUACUUACCAAUAAUGGGAUGUUAUAAACACAUGCACAAGCACAUACACAUAUAUAUUCCAAAUUUCCAUUUAAACACUUUCACCAGGAAAAAAAAAAAUCCAAGACACUCGACAGCGAGAAGUCAUAAUGAUCCGAAAGAACCUGUUAUAGAGCUCAAUACCUAUCUCUACAGAAGUUGAAAUUUAGUAGCAGCAAUAAUAGCCAGAAAGUCCAGAUUAUUGUACAUCUCAGUAGAUACGGCAAUUCACCAAAUGUUCCAAUCCCAUAUCUAGAAAACUUGAAAUUUCAGCCAAAAAAUUGAAAACUUUAUAUUAAAUUGAGAAAAGGAAACUGAACAACCAAACUAAGUACAUAAACUGUGAUUUAGAGCACAUAAUUAAAAAAGAAAAGAGGCUGCAGACAAAAACAUUCGCAACAAAAAAUUCAGGAAUUUGCCUCUGGUAUGCAAAAUAAUGGGAUACCAUUAAUCAUAAACCAAUAUAAUGGUAAGGUACUUCAGGAUAAAAAAUUCAAAAGAUCGAUUUUUUACCUAGAGGGGCUGAUAAUUCACUACCAUGAGUCCAACAAUUAAAGACUUUGCCUUGAACACUGAAAAGGUAUUUCGAUUAAGCUGGAUCAACCCAAAUCAAGAACAUAUAAGGGAUUCAAGAAAACAAAAUUAAAAUUAUCUGAUUAGUCACACAUAAUUAACAUAAAAAACAAAUAGAAAGUUCUAAACUUGCAACUAAUCAACCAAAAUGAACACAAAGAAUAGUGAAUCAACAAUUUAUAGAUAAAGAUGCGAUUUUUACCAUAAAAGAGGCCUCCAACCAAAACUGUCUGGAACAAUGAAUCAAAACUAUAAAGGAUUUUCCCAGAAUUUGAUGAGAUCUGAUUAAAAAUCAAAACUUUAAAUUGCUGAAAGAGGAUAAUCAAACAAUUGGGAAAAAGGGGAUCUGGGAGUGUGUUAUAAGCAUAAAGAUUUGAUUUUGAUGUUAAAGAAGUGGAGAAAUCAAGGAUAUGCGUACGAGAAAGCCUUCACUUGGGGUAAAUGUAGAGACUUUCUUGUGUUGGGUGGGGAAGUGGAAGAGAGAUGAAUGGACGGACACACAGACGGCUGCAGCAACCCUAUCUUGCACCUUUCAGGCUUCAGUAUUAUCAUCGUAUUAUUGUGUCAAUAUAAUAUCAUUUUUUUCUCACCUUUUAAAUGCUAUUUUGUAUAAAAAUAAAAUUUUACAGAGGCAUUGGUAAUAACUUGUAUAUUUAAUUCUGUAAGAGGUUUUAUUUGAAAUAUUAAAAGAUACUUUUUCAAAAAUAUCUAACUUAUGAAUAAUUUUUUCCAAAAACAUUAUAUAUACAAGAAAAAACAGAUUUUUUCGCCACCUAACUUAUUGUUUUUUUAGAAAGUUACCCAUAAAUUAUAAUUUUUUUCCUUUUUGUCACUAAUGUUAGGUUUGGAUUUCUUUUGUCACUAACGUUAGGUUUUGAUUUUAUUAUUAACAUUAUAUUAUUCUUUUUAACAUUAUUAAAAUAUAGUGUUAGUCUGCAAUAUUAUGGUAAUCUGUUACACUUCUAUAUCUUUAUAUAUAAUAUUUUAAAUGUCUCCUAUGUAGUUUACCAUAGAGAAUGAGAGUGUCACACGCAUUAUAAAACUCCUAAAAGAUUUAAUUUUAUAUAUAUAUUAAUUUUUUCCUAAAUAAAAAUUUUGAUUAUCUAUUGUCUAUAUUAUAUAUUGUUUUAUAAAAAUCAAGGUUAGAUUUCAUCUGCAAUUAUUUAUACUAUUGUAAAUGAUAAACUAUUUGAAGUCAUUGAUUUCAAAAUUAGGAUUUAAUGAAUUUUUAGAGUUUUAAUUAUAAUUACUCCCGACCGCUCAUUUAUGUUAUUAUUAUUCCCUCCGUCUAUCUCAUUUAUUUAUAUUUCUUUCCACUGUUUGACACGUAUUUUAAAGUUCACACUUCUUACAAAACAUAUUUCUAUAACUUAAAGAUUUUUUUGUGUAUAAAAAUUUAAACAUUAACUUUUUAUUCAGAAAAAAAAAUUAAAAUAAUUUAUGGAACUAAAUCCUUUAGGAGCCUUAAAAUGCGUGUCAAACUCUCAUCCUCCAAGAUAAACUACCCGGGGCACAUAUAUAGUACUACAUAAAAAGAUACAAACACGUAUCAGAUCAUCAUAAUAUUGUAGACUCCCACUAUAUUUUUUAAUAAUGCUAAAAAGAAUAAUAUUGUAUUAAUAAUCAAAUCUGAAUCUAAAGUCAGUGACAAAAAAAAAAAAUCCAAACCUGACAUUAGUGACAAAAAGGAAAAAAGGUUAUAGUUUAGUGGUAAGUUUCUAAAUAUACAAUAAGUUGGUUGUCGAAAAAUUUAUUUUUUUCUAUAUACAAUUUUUUUUUUGACGUAGGAACCCGCAGCCGCUACCCUUCGGAUGCGCACUGGGUAAACCCACGAGCUCACGUAUUCUAUAUACAAUUUUAACCGUAUUUUUCAAAAUCAAUUUAAAAAGGUAGAUAUGUUUGUAAAUUCUUUUAUAAUAAAAUACAAACAUAAAACCAUUGUGAAGUAGGAGUAACAAAAAUAUAGAAUUUUAAAUGUUUUUUAAAUAACUUAAUUUCUAAUAUCAUUAUAUUCAUUUUAUAUGGGAAAUUAUGGGAUAAUAUACCCAAGUUUGUUCAAAAAUGUUGAUAGAUUUAUUUUUUUGAUAAAAAAGAAUCAAUUCAUUAAUUAAAAGCCAUACAACAUCUAUAAAUACAAUCGAAAUUGGAUAGACGCCGAAAAGUAUCGCUGUUGAAUCCUUCCCUCUUAGAGAGGCAACUAAGCGAUUUGAAGAUGAUUUGAAUAUAUACAUUUGUUUUCAUCUGAUUGGAUUUCACCUGACGGUUCAGAACAAUCGACCAUAGAUGCGAUCUCAUAAUAACCUUCAAACCUGAAUCAAAUCCAUGAAAAUCAUGUCGAUCUAUAACAUCGGUCAUGGAGAACAUUAAAACACACUAAAGACAAAACAAACUAACUCUCGCAAGAAAAAGAGACUAACAAAACUCAAAUAAAUUGAGAACUUAUUGAAUGGAAAAUAAGAUUUCAAAACAAUAAAAAAGAAAAAAAGAAUUAGGACUUUCCACCGGAGAAAACCGAUGGAAGCCCCCUCAAAAAUCUUUAAUGGACGCUAACGUGUUGGGGGGUGCUUAGGAGUAGGGUUAAAAAUGGAGCGGGUUCGGGGCGUGGACUUCAUUUCUCAGCCCCACCCCGUAUAUAUUUUUUCUGCCCUGUCCCCGUCCAAGUCCCUGCGGAUAUAUAUUUUUUCCGCCCUGUCCCCGUCCAUAUAGAUUUGAAAUUUGACUUGCAUGACUUUAUAAGAAAACUCCAGUAAGAAGUAAUACCCCUUAAAAUGAGAUUUAUUCCUAAUUAACAAAAUAAAUUUUUUAAAUGAUUUUUUCAACGAUCCAACCGUACAGAUGUUAAGAUAUAUUUAUUUUUGUCAUGUAAAAAAUAAUUUAAAAAAUUGAAAUUUACCUUGUAUGACUUUAUAAGAAAAAUAUUGUAAGAAGUACUACUCCUUGAAUUAAGAUUCAUUCCUUAUUAACAAAAUAAAUUAUUAAAAUGAUUUUUACAAAGAUCCAACCAUAUGGGUGUUAAGAUAUAUUAAUUUUAGUCAUGUGAAAAAAUAAUUAAAAGAUUUGAAAUUUUACUUGCAUGACUUUAUAAGAAAAAUUCAGUAAGAACUCUUACUUCUUAAAAUGAGAUUGAUUACUGAUUAACAAAAUAAAUUAUUAAAAUGAUUUUUUCAACGAUCCAACCGUACAGAUAUUAAGAUAUAUUGAUUUUAGUCAUAUAAAAAAAUAAUUAAAAGAUUUGAAAUUUAACUUGCAUGACUUUUAUAAGAAAAAUCUAGUAAGAAACGUACUACUCCUUAAAAUCUUUAGAUUCUGCAAAGGAGUACAUUUUUGUUUGGUCUAUUGAGGAACAUUUGCGUUUCGUCAAGUUUUCUGUGGAGGACAUAUAUUGGAAUUAGUGUUAAGUUUUUAUCUUUCUAUCUAUAUUUGUGACUCUAUUAUUAUAAUAGAAAAAAUAAUGAAAGGCCGUGCCUUUGGAGUAGCCAUCUGCAAUAGAGUCGGUUCCACCCCAUUUCUAUUAUAAUUGCUUCAUGAAAGCAUUAGCUAACCCCACUAUACAAAUUGCUCCCAAACACUGUGCCACCAUGUAGCCCAAAGCUCGCAUCAGUGUUAUUUUUCUUGCCAAAAAUCACUGCUGGAUUAAUAUGACACCCUACAAAAUUAGUUGCAGGAUUUUUGCAUUUGCAGGACCGACUGCUUGAUGAAAUUAGAGCAGGUCAGGAUGGGAGGUGGUUGUGAAUUUGUUUGUCUGAUUCUGGAGCCAUUGCAUUUAUUUAGGGAUUUAGGGAUUUAGAGGUAGAUAUGGUGUAAAGAGAUAACGGUGAUUUAAGUUAAUUUAAGUCAAUAUAACUAUUGAAAGAAAAAUGCUAGGGACCCCAAAUAUUUAUCCCAAAUUUUUUUCCCAAAUGAUGUGGUGAAAUUUCAUUGAUUGCAUUCAUUCCCAUAAUAAUGAGGCCCCCCCUGCAGAUUCAUCAACCACCCAAUCAAAUUUCGGCACUUAUUAUCCACGUCAUUUGGCAACAAAUUUUGGGGAAAAAAUUUGGAGUCUCUAGCAUUGCCCCUAUUGAAAUGGAGAAUUGACGGCAAUGUCCUUAUAAAUAUUAACUGUGUUAGUAAAAAUUGACGGAGAGACACAUUUUGUAAAAAAAUCAAAUUUCAGUAUUGCAAAUGAUAUGUAUUAAAAAUUGAUAUUAUAAGUGGUGUCACGCACAAAGUGCGAGUACACAUAAUGUACUUUACUCGUAAUUUUUUUUAUAAUUAUGUGUCUAAUAGAUCUCUUGAAUAUAAAAUCGUCGUAAAAAUUUGAAGCCAAACAGCAGGCUUUUAGGUAUAAAUUUGGACAAUAACUCUCUUGGAUAUGUGUAUUUAGAUUCUUAUACAUGUCAGAAGUUAAUAAAAUUAUUAGAAGUAAAUAUUUAAUUAUUUAUUAUACUCCAUUUAUCUCGGAACGAUAAUUUUGUUUUAAUUUGAUUUAUUAAAAUUUACUAAAUUUUGAGCAAUAAUUACUCAUAUUAUAUAAUUAAAAAAGUUAUAAAUUAUAUAGUUAGAAAAUAUAUUUAAUCUUUUUUAAAAUAGAUUUUCAAUUUUUAAAAAUUAUAAAUUUAUUUUUUAUUAUAAUACAAAAUUGGAUAAUUUAAUUAUUGAAAACAAUGAAAAUUAAAAAGGGUAGUACCACAUGAAAGGAUAAUACAAAAUGAAAAUUUAAUUAGGGGUUUUAAUACACAGUAAACAUGAGGAUGCUCAAGAGAGUUGGAAGAUUAGUGAUGCGAGAGCGAGAGCAUAUAAAUUAUAUACUACACAGGUGUAUAUCAUCACCAGCAAUAUAUGAUGUCGCCAACAGAUCUAUCCCUCUGCUGCAGGACACCCAACUUGACGGUUUUACAGGUUACCAAAUUUCUGUUAACUCUUCAAUUAUAUUGUAUGUAUAUGCAUCGUAUUCGGUUAUCAGGGCUUUUCCUUCCAACUGCAUAAUAUGAUCCACUUUGAUUCUUGAAAUUUGAUUCCUUCCAACUCUAGUAUUUUGGGCAUUACUUGUGAAAAUUGUGGUAUAUGGGGCCUUUUCCUUUAUUUCCCGGCGUUAAUCUAAUCUAGUAUAAUAUUGCGUGAAUGCUUAAUUAAUAACACGAAUGUAUUAUUUGUUGUACUUGAACUAGGCACAACAAAUUUGGUUCUUUAGAGCAAGUCCAAGAAGAAUCCUUAUCCACAAGCUCUAUUAUUAAAAUACUAAUAUAUUAGAAUUGCAAGAGCAAAUGAAGUGUGGAAAGAGAGGGUAUUAUAUUCAAUUUUUAAAACUAAAAUGAGGCUUGUGUAAUUAAGGCAGAUGAAAGAUGUCCUAGCAAUUUAAGGCAUUUUUAGGACACCGGUGGAGCUUUUAUUUUUGUCAAUAACCCUGAAUUUUGAUUUAGGACACCAAAUAAGACAUUUGUUGGACUUGCUCUUAUGUUACAGUAAUCUAUAUGACAACUACUUCACUAUUAUACAAUAGCUUUAUGACCAUGUUUGUUUGAAAUGAUUAUAAUCCUAGGAUAACUACAUUGUUUUCUUUAAAUUUAAAGGAUUAUCAUCUCAUGGGAUUUUAUUGCCAUCACUUUUUUUAUUCAAUCCCAAUCCCAUGGAAAUGAACUAAAACAAUUGAUUAGGAUAUGAAUUCAUGAGAUUAUUAUUCUUGACAAUUGAGAUAAACAAGGUAAUAAUUGGGGGAUUAUAAUCCCUUCAAACAAACAUGACCUAUCUAUGUCGAGUACAAUGAAUAGCUUUUAACCUAAUUAAUGAUUAACAUACGACGUAUUUGUUUUACUGAAGUUAUAUAGAAUAAAUUGUUUACUUAUAUAUAUAAUGGGAUUGCUAGACCUGAGGUAUGAGGGCAUUGGCGGAGCCAGGAUCAAAUGUAUAGAGGGACACCAUAACCCUAAUCACAUAGUUCAGCUGGGGGCACCUGUUAAUAAUACAUGUGAGACCCACAAAAAUAUAGUUGUUUUUUUGAAAGUUGGAGGGGCACGAGCCCCCUGGUGCCCUAAUGUGGCACCGCCACUGUAUGAGGGUGACAAGGUUAAACAAAUGCUAGUAUAAACUAGGGGGUAAUUGUCAAGGUAUCGCCGUGGUGAAAAAUGUAGAAUUAUAGAUGUAUUAAUAUAUGUGGGGUAGCACUUUAUAGCAUACUCUCUUAUAGAGAGUUUCGUGGUAUACCACUAUAAGUAUAUUCAUACUACAUAUAUUUAUUAUAUUUUUCAUUGAAUAUAAAUACAAAUUUUAAUCAUUGAAUUUAAAAAAAUACAAUUUUUUAUUCCAAAAAUCAUUGAAAAUAGUGCAAAAUUCCAACAUGAUUUUACAACAGAAUAAUAGUUAUCCAGAAUUAUUCUGCUAUAGAACUGGUUUCGGAAAUCAACUUUUUUUUUUCAAACUUUAGGUGUUAAAUUAUUUAUAAUAUAUAUAUGCUUGAAUAUUCUAUAUUAGAAUCACAUUUUAACCGUAAAAUUUAUAAUAAUAUUAAUGGUUUAUAAUGGUGCACUACGGAAUUACAUAUAAGAAGGACCUUCAUGGAAUGUUGGCCAAUAUAUGUGUAUUAAUUUGCAGAAGUAUUGUUUUCUUUCUCUUGUAUAAAACUAACUUAUAUCCCGUGGGAUGCACGAGUGACUUGUAAUAUGAUUUUUUUAAUUGUGCAUGUUCUAAUAUUAAUUUGUUUGUGAAAAUACAUUUAUUUUACAUGCUAAAUAAGUUUUUAAUAAUUAAGCCCGUGAAAAAAAAUUACAAAUAAAAAGACCCAAGAAAUAUAUUUUACCGAGAUGGAAAUAUGUCUUAGCUGUGAAGCAGGCAUACGGCAAACUACUGAAGAAUCGCAGGGGGUGCGCGCACCGUGCGGGAGCGCAGCGGUGCGACAGGGGGUGCGCCAGGUGGCAUGGCGACGAAUAUCCUUGGCCGAUACGCGGCGGUGCAGGAAAUGCGGUGCGGGAGGGGCAACAUCGGUAAUUUCACAGCAUAUUAAACAACCGUAAUUGAAGCCCCCAAUCUAGUCUCCUUCUUUCCGGCGAGCGGUGGAUGUUUCUUCUUCGCAUAAGGCUCGAUCUGCUCCAACUGCAAUGCCUCUAUAUAUCUGUGUGUAUUGUAUAUCUCUGUUGGUGCAGUGGUUGUUUGUUGUAUUGGGCUUGGGCCUAGCUAUCUACGUGGAUUAUGAACAAAUAACUGCUAAUCUAAUCUGGUUGUUGUCUCCUUUUAAUUUCUUUAUUUUUUAUUUGCUGACUUUUUAAUAAUUUUGUUAAUUUAGUUUUACUAAUUAUUAUAUACAUAAAUUAUAUUUUUUUAAUAUUAUAUAUAUAUAAAAUAUAUUUUUAAUAUUUUAUUUUUGCCGUAUACCGCCGCACCCGUAUCCUCAUUUUUUGAAAUUUACCGAAUUCGCGUAUCCCCGCACCGCGCAUCCCCGCACCCGCACCCAUGCUUCCCAGUGUCUUAGUAAAAUUCAAAAAGGACCCGUCAAAACAUGUUAUAAAAUUAAAAGACCAAUAAACUGACCCAAAUACAGACCAACCAAAACUUAUGCUGUCGUCUUAAAUAGUAUAUAGAUUCUAAUUAAAAGACUCCGAAAUGGUUCACUGAAAAGUUAAAAAUAAAUUAAAAUAUAUUACCGGAUGAUUACAUUUUAUUUCUUGUAAUAUCCUUUUACGUAUGUUGAAACUCAUCAAAUAUUGGAACUUGAUUUGACAGAGGACCAUAGAAGUAAAUGCUACGAAUUGGAGAGGAAAACAAAAGAAGAAUCUGAUUUUGAUAUAGCGGUAAGGAAUUUUACCAAUCUCUCAAUAGAGAUGAAGAAACAGAAGAUUAAUCAGAAGGAGCUUACAAGUGUCAGUAGUGGAGAUAUUGUUAAUCUACACGAGCUUUUGUUUACCAAAAACAGGGACUAUCUAAUCAAAUUCAAUGGGGACCAGGUACGUGUGCAUGAUUUUAUAUUCAUACAUACAUAUAUAUAUACAUACAUAUAUAUACAUAUAUAUAUAUAUAUAUAGGCAAUUGAUCAAAUACAAACCAACUCUUAAAUACAAACUAAAAACCAGAUUUCUUACCACUAUUUAUAACUACGAGUAUCACUAAUUUAUAUUGCACUAAUCACUGUUUUUGUACAAUAUAUAAACAACGAUUUUUAUCAUCAAAAUUGAGAAAAUCUACUUACAUAAACUAUUGGUAAUCGAUUAUAUAUGAUCAAUUUGAGUCGUAGGAAGGUUCUUAGUGGUAAGAAGCCGUAGAGAAGUUGUAUGAUGGUGUUAAGUAGUUGUUAGUUUUGGUAAGUUAUGAUGGAAAGUGUAUGUGACUAUUGGUGAUGGUAGACAAUGGUGGCAUGUCAUGAAAACGUCUGGUAAUGGUGGUGGUAAGAGGUCCAUUAUAACGGUUCAGGUGAAGAUGAUGGUCAUAUACGUUGCAUAUAUGUGAUGUGUGUGUGUGUAUUUAUAUUCGCGAGAUAUGCUAUAUAUAAAUUAGUGAUAUGUUAUGUACAAAUUAGUGAUUUCUGUAGUAAAAAAUAGUGAUAAAAAACUGACCAGAACUGGUUUUUAGUUUUUAGGCUAAUUUGGUUUGUAUUGGAGUAGGACUCUAUAUAUAUAUAUAUAUAUAAAUCUAGAAGGCCAAGCCAUGUAUAUAUAUAUAUAUAUAUAUAUAUAUAUAUAUAUAUAUAUAUAUAUGGAAGGCCAAGCCAUAAGAAUAUAUGUUGGUACUUCUACAUUGUCUUAUAUUAAUGUUAAUGCCAUGGUUUGGGGGAAUUUCGGAGCAGGGAGACUUUAAUUUUUGUUUCUGCCCCGGUCCCCAAAAUUUUCUUAUAAAAAUUUCUUGUUCCCAAAGCCGAACAAGCUCUGUCCUGAAUGGAGUGGGGAUCGGAUAUGGGUUAUGCAAAUCAUAAAACAUUAAUGAUGGUAUUUAAGAAAUUACGACACGCUAGAAUAAAGUAGACCGCAUAACAGCUAUUGAGGGUCACUUAUUGGCUAUAGGGCUGUAAAUCGAUACGGACUAUCCGGUGUCUCCGCUCAUAUCCGGCUCGAAAAUAUGAUACAUGUCUCAUAUCCGUUUUGAAAACGAUCCGAAUCUGGCGAAAAAAUUAAGUCCGUAUAAUAUAUGAUCCCGAAUACGAGCACACCUAUACCCGCUCAGAUUCGGUCUCAUAUAAUUUUUCAUAAUAUGAUCCUACCCGAAUAACCGAAUAUGAUCCACGGUUCAUAUUCGAUUCAAACUCAUAUAAAUAUUAUAUUUUAACACCAUCAUAUUUGCAAAUAAAUAGUCAUCAUUUUAUAUAAUUUUAAUAUCUUAUUUAAGUUUAUAUCUUCAUAAAAUAUGAUUUAUUUAAUGUGAUCAUGCUUAUAUCUUCGUAUAUAUUUAAUAAAUGAUAUAUAUACAAACAUAUAACUAUAAGUUUUAAUUUAAAAUUAUUAUACUUUAUAAUAUUAUGUUUACUUAGACUAAAUGAUAAUUAUUUGAACAACUGAAAUAAUAAUGAUAUUUAGUGUUACUGGAUCAUAUCCGGCUCAUAUUCGAUGGAUCAUAAACUACCCCGUUAAAAAAUAGAAAAUACGAUACUGGAUCAUAUCCGGUUCUGAUCCGAAUCUCAAAUACCGGGAUCGGUUUAUAUCCGAAUAUAACGAUCCCGGACCCAAAUCUGGACAAGAUAAAAAUAAUAUGCCGGGAUCACCCGGAUCAUUUUACAGCCCUAAUUGGCUAAAGAGAUGACCAGAACUAGACACAAAAUGAAACAAAUGUCAUUGAUAGCCCAAGUUAAACGAGAAUCAAUAAAUGAUCAUCUAGAACACAAACUGUGAGCUCAGCCGGCGCCAAAAACUCUCACUGCCUGCAUUAAAUUGAGCAGUCCUCUAAUCAAGGUUAAGUAGUUCAUUAACGACUUAAGAUGACAAAGUUGUUCAUCUUAAUGGAGGUAAACAUCUUUUUUCUAGGAAAAAAGAUGUUUGAUAUCUCCAUUAAGAUGACAAAGUUGUUCUUUUGGACUCGGAUGUGAUAUUCUGCAUUGCUAGUUUUGGCUUUAAAGAUUCUGUCAUCUUUUCUGGUUAUCAUCGUGGAGUAGUAGUAGUAGUAGUACCAUCAUGCUUAGAAUCUGCGGUUUUAGUGGCAAAGAGUAACUUAGUUUUAGUGAUGAAUCAGGGAAUCGAAGCAAGUGAUCAUGUAUCCAAAUAAAGAGAGGCAAGAAUUUGGUAGCUGUAUUUAGCUUUGGCUUGCCUUUAAAGCUCCACUUACUUUGAUAAAGAUAUGCCAUUGUUCCUGAAUAUUUUUCUUCAUCUUCUUCUUUAAGCUAGGGUAAUGUGUUCCCCUGGUAUUACUGUAGAUGGUUAUUUAUCCAAACAUCAAAAGUUAUUCGCCUAGUAAUGCAUUGGUAUCCUGUUCUUUCUUUGAUAUUUCAUCUGAAAUCACAAACAGUAGAUUACAAGAUUGUGGACCCAUAGAUAAAGAGGCUGAUGAUAAAAACAUGACUGUGAAGCUUUGCAUGAUUAAUAUAUUUACAAAUUAUCAUUCUUUUUAUGGGUAGAAUUAGGUCUACUGGAAAACAUCGGAAAGUGACUCCAGACUAGAAAAUACAAGUGAAAAUGUUUGGUAUGAUAGUAUUCACACUGUGUGCUCGAGGGAGAGACUCUUUCCAACAUAAUCUGGGAAUAAUUGGGGUGCAGAAGUGAUGAUUGUGGAGAAGAAAGGAUGAAACAUGGGCGGCUGUAACCCAUCUCUCCAAAAGAGAAUGGUUUGGGAUGUAACAAAAUGCAGGAGGGGCAGCUUGUAGUGAGUGUAAAAAAAAAAGCCUAAAUUGAAUUCAUUGGCAGAGGCUGGCAUGAUGUGUAAUGAUGAAACAGGUUUGUACAGAGUUAAGUAGCACAAGAAUACAAGUUGUGGACUUACCAGGAGACCUAAGUCUAUAAGAUAAUGAUAUACUUGACGAGGUAGAGGAAAAUGAGAGAAUUGCAUGGUGACAUGCAACAACUUAAUGGAGGUAAACAUCUUUUUUCUAAACAACUUGUAGAGAAAGCUAGGGUUUUGGAGAGAGAAAGCUAGGGUUUUAGAGAGAGAAUGCAGUUAUAGACAAACAAGAGAGAGAAGCAGUUGGUGGAAUUAGAUUCCAUUUUCUGUAUUUAAAUUCAACAUCCUCGAAAAAUACAACUCAUACUUCUAUCUAUAGAUUUGAUAUCCUUAAGUAAUGUGAAAGUGCUAAACAGCCCUUCCCUUGUACUAUACUAACACUAACAGUCUUCUAAGGAGAGUGCUAAUGUAAAGCAGUUGUUGGUGCAAUCCUAACAGACUACUACUACUCUCGCAUUGAAGUGAAGAAAGCUUAACGAAAAAUGAAAUCGAUGCCGAGCAUAGUUAAAAUGAACACCUGGUUUAUUUCUCAUCGAUCAUGUACCAGAGUUUUCCCAAGUUCAAUUUUGACCAAUUUAGUUAUUUGAGAGGUUUUGUGAUAUUUCUUAACUGCUUAGUGUGAGGGGCAAAUCAAUUCUUGUGCAAGGAGAGGGAUGCGGUCAUUCUGUGGACUUGUAUUCAAAUAUCAAAUUGUUAGUUAGUUUUAUGCAAUAAGCACUGUACCAAAUAGGACCAAUUAUAAGCUACUUGCACAAACAAGCCGAAAUCUAAUAUCUCGUCUUUUAUUUUGCAUGGCGAUAAUAUGAAAUCUAGAACAGUUUGGAUGACAACUCAAGCGCCAUUGUGAAAUAUCCACAAAGCCUAUUGAUAAAUUAUAUUUUUUUUAUAUAUAUAUAUAUCCUACAUCACUUUAGCUCCAAAAUAUACUUCUUUAAAAUGCAUGACUUGUGUUGUGUCUGACUGGCUUUUGAAAUUGUACCUGGAAGCUAGAAUGAGGUUCACCUAUGUAACAGCUAUAAACAUGUGUUUUCAGCUUAUCAACUUAUAACAAGUAUAUACUCUGUAGGUGAAGGCUGAGCAGUUUGCUGACAAGGUUAUCGUUAUAUAUUUUGUGUUACUGCCACUUGUUGAUAAUAAUUCUGCUGAGCGGGUGGGGCUGAUCACAGAAAGAUUAAAGGAUGUAUACAACUUUCUACCACCUAACAAAGGUUUCGAGAUCGUUUUUGUGGCUGUUGAUGAUGAUGACACUAGCUUUGAAGAAGAAAUGUUAUUUGAUCCUUUACCUAAAACAGACCUUGAGAAUGAUUUUGAAGAGGUAUUUUCUUGCAUGCCCUGGACUGCCAUUCCAUUGUCUGAUAGAACAUCCAGGGAACUUCUGCAGAAAAGAUUUGGUUUUAGGGAUAACAACGGUAGCCUGUUUGUAAUUGAUUCAAAAGGGGUCGUUUUGCAAACAAUUGUCAUUUAUGAUUUUAUUCGAUAUGGAAGUCUAGGAUAUCCUUUCAGCAGUGAGAGGCUCGAAUCCCUGGAAUCUGAAUGCAAAGCAAUCGCUGCAGAACCCACAGUAGAAAAACUUCUGUCUUCCCCUGAACGAGACUAUGUCAUUGCGAAUAACGGGGACAAGGUAUACCAUGCACACUUUAUAACAUUUGGUGAUAAGGGCAUAUCCACGAGUACCUUGUUGUAGUCAAUUAAUUUCUUUUUCAUUUGUACAUCCAGUUGAGUUUGGAUAAUAAUAUUUUCCUUUACACUUCCUACUGUUACAUGUAUUGUUAGGUGCCUAUUCAUACACUUGAAGAUAAGGUGGUAGCUCUAUACUUCCACGCAGGCAACGUAACUGAAACUGAUAUGCUUACAGAAGAACUUAGGAAUGUAUAUGAAAAGUUGGCUGAAAAAGAAGUUAAAUUUGAGGUUGUGCUUCUUUACCUUUGUGACACACCCAUUACUAUUGGAUUUAGAAAUGAAGAUUCAUUCUGGAGAACUUUUGGGACUAUGCCUUGGUUAGCUCUCCCUUAUAAAGACCCUAUCCUGAAGAAGUUGAAAAUAAUUUACGAGUAUCCUGAGGAUUAUAAUUAUGGUGAUGAUGAGGAGAUCUCCAAGCUUGUAAUUGUCGGUCCUCAUGGAGAAUUUUGUGAACCAUGUGGAGCCGACAUUUUGUUGAACUACAGAGUUCCAGGAUACCCCUUCACGCGUGAAAAAGCUCUCGAGUUAGAGACCGAAAGAAUAAAGAAAUUGAAGUUAGAGAUGAUUUUGGAGACGAACAAGGUCUUGACCAGAAAUGACGGAUCCAAGGUAUGUUCUUUUGACGUCUUGAUGCAUUAUUCAAAGAGUUUGGUAUAAAUUUUAUCUUCUCUUAUUCCAGUUCCUAAAGCCACUUCCAUGGCGCCUAUUAAAGAACAUUGAAACUGGUUAAUAAAUCAUAAUUAUUUCUUCUUUAACGGCACCUGUUACAGUUAUAAUGGUGCAUUGUUGCCCAAUUUUUCAGUACAUGUCAACUUAUCAAUUCCACUUUAAUAGGUUUCGCUCUCUCAACUUGCUGGCUAGAGGAUUAUGCUUUUAUUUGGUCUAUUUGAAGAUGAGUUCCUAAACAUGUUAAAAGAAAGGUAUCUCUCUAUGAAGAGUACAGAUGGUGAAUUUGAAGUAAUCCACAUCUAUGUAUCUGACACUGAUGAUGUUGUAGACCCGCCGGCCUGGUUUGUGUAUCAUCUGCCAAAAGGCUUCCGCUAUGCUUCUGAUAUUAUACCUGCUGACUUUGAUAAACGAUACUUUAGACAAGAAGAGAUUUACGAUGUUGGAGAUACGAGAAGACUUCUUGCUUUUGAUCGAGAUGGAAUGAUCGUCAGAGACUCGGCUUUUCCGACGAUUGAAGAUAUGAAUUUCCCCUUCUACACCAGGGGGUUGGAAAAGGAAGCCUUACUAGAAUUAGAUUCUGUGUUCCAUUGGUAUGAAUGGGAAGACGCUGAGAGUUGGAACCGUGAGGCAGGGUAUAUUGGACCAAACCAGUCUUGCGGACGAUCGGUUGGAUCCAUUUCCGCCUUGGGCGUCAUUAGUUUUGAGUCAUGAUGGGUUGAAGCAUGCUGAUAGUUAUUAGAAUAUAAUAAAUUGAAGUGUUCUAUUAUUUUAUGUAUUAUUAGUUAUUUGAAGGAUGGAUUGGAUGCUGAAAAAGUAAAAGUUUCUCACUAGACAUCAUUUUAUGCAUCAAACUUUCAAUGUCAAGUAAAAGUUUCUCACUUUGCAUCAUUUUAUGCAUCAAACUUUCAAUGUCAGAACUAAUAAGCUAAGGAUAGUGUCAGAUCAAUUAUAAAAUGAUGAGCAUUUGUGUAAUAUUUGCUGUAUGAAUUCUACACCCUGUGGUCAUUUACUGAACUUAAAAUAAAUCUAUCUAUUAUAUGAGAACAUGUUUUUCUGUACUGAGCAAAUUUAUUCAGGUAAGGAAAUCCCGGCCUAUUUACCAACCUAUCCUGUCCAACUGAUGCAUGCUCCUUCUUAGACCCAGUCUUCCAACGAACUGAUCCCUCCCACCAGGGGCUCCAUUCUUCUUCUACGAUCUGGCUAGAUGAGGUCGAUUCUAGUGAUUGGUUCAGGUAAGCUCGUUAUGAUGCUGGCAUCCUGCACUCCAGUAAAUUAUUAGAAGGUGAGGAAGCUUUCAAUCUCAUGUCUGUUUGUCCUCUCCCCACAGGAGCCUGAUGAAGGUUUGGGAUUUCUGAGCAAAAAGAAAUUGACAUUUUUUAUUAUGAUUUACAAACUUGAAUUGAAUUCAUAGUUUGGUAAAAUUAUUAAUGUUAUUUUUUCUUUUCACUAAUUCAAUAUAUAUGUUUCCAAGCCUGAAACUCGGGGUUGCGUAUGUUCUUUGGGUAUGUACUUACAGAAAUUCAGAUAAAGAAACCAAAGCAUGAAUAAUUAAUAGAGAUUGUUGCUAAGUUGUACAUUUUUGUUUGGUCUGUUGAGGAACAUUUGCGUUUGUCAAGUUUUCUGUGGAGGACAUAUAUUUCAAAUAGCACUUGUAGUGUGUAAGUGUUUGUUAUACUGAUUGAAAUGACUUUUAAGAUUGCAAGUAUAAUUAGGCCAACAUACAGCAAUAUUUUUUUUUUAUAAUUGUGUGUCUAAUAGAUCUCCUGAAUAUUAAACCGUAUACCUUAUUCUCGUAAAAAUUUGAAGCCAAACAGCAGGCUUUUAGGUAUAAAUUUGGGCAAUGACUUGGAUAUGUGUAUUUAGAUUCUUAUACAUGUCUGAAGUUAAUAAAGUUAUUAGAAGUUAUAUAUGAGAUAUAUAUUAACUGUUAGAUUAUCAACCUUUGUUUUUACAGAUAUAUAACUUAUUCAAAGGAGGAAGAAGCAGUUCGUUGCAUUCAGUCAGUGUAUGGUUACACAUUGGAGGGUAGACCAUUAAGGUCUGAUUCUAUUGGCUUUAGUGGAGUGCAGCAGUAAUGGUAUCUGUUUGCUUAUUUACUAUUCUUGUGUUGCAGAGCCUGUUUUGGAACCACAAAAUAUUCCCAUGCAUGUCUGAGGAGUGUGGUAUGGUCCUUAAUUUAAUUAAUUGUGAGUAAUUCGACUAUGGGGGCAUAAUGUAAUGGAAGGGUAUAUAUUCGCGGACUAAUAUAUUUCUGAAUUAAAUUCUGACUGUAAUGCUAUUUUGUUAGAUGGAAAAGAACUUGAUGGUUCAAUUACCACACCACUAAAUUCAAUUCCACUACACGUUUACAAUGGUGUAAUAAAUGUUUGUAAGCAUAGAGCACACGAUAGUUUAUGGAGUAUCUUGUGGUAGGUACGAGUGCUACAUAAUUUAAUUGGAUUUGUCAGAGUCGAAUAUUCAAGCUAUACUUUGUCCACUUAUGUUGUUUAACCAAUUAUUAUUUGUCGAAGUUGGGUCUUCGGUAUAUGUAGAUUCCUCAUUUUUCUGACUUUGCUAAUUACGGAAGAACUUUACAACUUUUACUCUAUUUGUAUACCUUGCACAGUGAUUUCUUUUAAUUUUUUUAGCUUUUACAUGAAUAUGCCUCAGGUGUAUGUAUGUUAGACAGUUAAGAUUGGUGAAAUCCUUGCGCUAUUUAUGGAACUUCAGACCUUGGGUGACAGGAAUUUGCAGUUUGCUUUCUUAUUUCAGUUUACGAGAGUGUAUUAUCUUUUUUUUGAUUGAUUUUAGGCAAAUAAUACGGGGACGAUGUCAAGCAAAAUGAAAAAGAAAGCAAAAUUGCAGCGUGUCAUUCGUAGCAUGAAAAAACAGCAGCUCCAGUCUUCAGAAAAGACUACAAGCUCCAGGUCAUAUUCACCUCUUAACCAUUUAAAUGAUGCUCAGGUAAUAAUAAUCAUCUGAGGUUUUGGUGAUCACUGAUACUCUGCAGUUUUAGGAGAGCAAGAUAACUCAUCAUACUUAUAUUUUGUUGUCAGGGAUUUGUUGAAAAGCUGUAUUCUCGUCUCCAAACUGCAGACAAAUUUGAGGUAUUCAGACUGAUGUGUAAUGUUUAGCUUUUUCUUUCUAAUUUAUUCAAGAUCCAAUCUGCACCCUUUUAACACCAUUUUAUGUGUCACAGAAGUUAUUAUCUAAAUUGCUUUAUAACCUUUAUUUUUUCUAUUAUCUGUGCUUGUUUCAUUUCCACAAUCUCUAUCAGUUAUGCUGUUUAGUGUCUUCUUAGUAUACAUCUGAUAAUGUGAAACUUUAGCACAGCGAACUGUAUUGUUUGAAAUCUGUACCUUUUAUGUAUGUAUUGUAUUGAAUAAAAAUCAUCAUUACGCGAUCAUGAGCAACAGAAAGCAGCUAUUGAUAACACAAAAUAUUAAAAUUCGUUUUAGUUCUAUCUGAACCCAGAUAAUCUAUGAUGACCAAUAAUACAUGGUAAUGACUUAAAUGUUUAUGGUUUAAUUCUUAAAAGUUUAUAAUUUUAACAGUUCAGUCUUCCCAAGACAACUUUACUGCCCUGAAGCAGGUUUUGGAAAAUUAGAGAGAAGUGUUACAAAGUUGACAGAAAUAUUCCUUGUGCACUGUAAGAUAAAAGGAAAACCGGAUUCUGCAGAAACUGUUGUGUUGGUCGAUGGCUAUUUGACAAAGCGAGCCUGUUGCUGGUUUUCACGCUUAGAUAUGCAGGUCGGUGAUUAUGUAAUAUAAAGGAGAAAAUGCAAUUAACUUUACUUAUGAUUUAAAAGGACAUCCUUCUUGUCAUUUCAGUUGUUGUGGGAUAUUGUCCAUUUGGAGAACAGGAACAGGCAUUGCAAUAUUUUACUGAACUACCUCGGUUUCAUCACACAUGUGUGACUUUUUGAAAGGUUUAUUUGUUUUUAUAUAUAACCAGUCUUGUUUUGAUCUGAAUUUUACUGCUAAUAUAUUUUUCCCUGGUGAUUCUCAGGGUAAAUGUUGUGUUUCGUCCAGUUUCAACCGUUUCUGUUCCUAUGAACUUCACAAUAUGAACAUAAUCAAGGUGAUAAAGAGUCAUAUUGUUACAUAACAGUUUAAUGAAUAUUUUGGUUCAAGUACUUCAUGAUAUGUUUUCUUGUUUUGUAGAAUUUACCAGGCGUGGAUGCUCUCACUGCAUUUGCAUAUUUCUUUGAUGCUGAGUCCACAAGGAAGUACGUAAGUUCAAGAAGUUUGGCAGAGGAAAGACAAGUAAGUUCACAAAAAGUUUUGUAGUCCUUCAUUUCCUGGACUUGGUUGCUUGUCUCCCCUAAAACCUGCUAGCUUAAAAGAGUAUUUGGCUGCAAUUUCCUGAAAUGCUUUACUUGAGAGUCUCUAUUUUUCUUCCAUUACUUUUAAAUGGUUGAAUAUAGAACUGUAAUAUCCGAAAUUGUGUCUUCUCAAGCAAACAGAUUACUGGCAGUUGAUAGUACUAUGCCAAAACCAGAGUAGAACUCAUGAAUUAGAAAAUUUCAUCAUAGGAUCAGCUUUGCAUAAAUUGAUGAUUUGCUUUACCAUCCUUUCCUUAUGCAACACUAAUUUAAUACUUUGAAUUUGAAUGCACGGGACGCUAAUCUACUUUUGCAGUUCAAAGUGUCCAAAUGUCAUUGUUACAACUUAAAACUGUAAAGACAUAUUGAAGAUUGAAGUACAACACCAAGAAAAUAAGUACUCAAUUAAUUUCUAUUUACAUCUCGUGUAGUAUCUGAAAGAAUAUAUAGCUUGAACCAUUAUGUGAAUUUUUCCCUUAUAUAGCUGCUGUUUGGUGCAGAUAAGCAGCUUACUUCUAGGUAGUAUGCUAGAUGUGGUAGAGGAGGUACAAUUAGCUCGGUUAGAACUUCGUAAUCUCAUUCAGUGUAUCUUCUGCUCUGAGUCAGGUAACUUCUGUCCUUCUCCACUUGAAAGUUUCUUUUCGCAGGCCAAGUUACCCGGACACGGGUAUGGGUAUCGGACACGGGUACAGAUCCAAGAGUCAGAUUCGUAGUUUUAGGAUAAUUAGGAUUCGUGGACAUGGAUCCGGAAUUAGACUCGGGUACGGGGACUUGGCACUUAAGCUCCAUGCAAGUAAAACUUUAUAUAGACUAGUCUAUUGUACAUUCAUAAAAAUAGUGUCUACUGCACAUAAAUCACAUACGCUGAAAAUUGAAGCAUAAAAUCAAUAGAACAACAUAGAAACAAGUCAUUCAUGGAUCUUGAUCUCUUCAAACAAGUUGAAACAAGACCUAAGUUUUCAUUUUGACCUGGGAUGUUACAAGGUGAGGUGUCCGGUUGUAAUAAGAAGGAUCCGACAAAGUGCGAGACUCACUUAUGGCCAAAUGCUUAGUUAAAGUUACUUUGUCCUUUGCUAGACUUUAAUGCUAAAUAUGAGAAUCUUUGUAUUGAGAUGAACUGAUGGUGCCUCAUGCCUGUGUCGCUUGAUGGAGCAUAGGAGCAUGCAUCGGUUGAAAUAUUGUAGUUAUUAAUUGUCCCUCUACUGUGCUAAUAUGGGAGGCUGAAUCUCUCGUGAAUCAAAGCAUAAUAAUCCUUCAUAUUUUUUCUAAUGUUAACCGUGUUUACAUGCAAUUGUAGUUAAUUUCCAUUUUUUGUGCAGUUGAACAGCUUGAUUUGCAGCUUUAUUUCCUUAAUCUUAAAAGUGGUAAAAGAGCAAUCUUUACUUUUGACUUGUCCUGUUUAAAAGGUACAGAGCCUUACUUUUGAAUAUUGAUUGUUUCUACUUUCCGCUAUUAUAAAUUAUUAUUUACCUUAUUCCUAUUAUCUUCCCGGGUGGUAAUAUUGGACCCGACACGAAUUCGACCCAUAAAUACGAAUUCGGGUUGGAGUUUUUCAAGUUCGGGUCGAAUUUGGGUUGACCAAACUACUAGGAUAUAUACGUACUCCCUCCAUCCCAAAUUAGAUGGCCCCGUUGACUUUGGGCACACAAUUUAAGGUUCAUUGACCGCAUAGAUACGUGAUUUAUUUUUAAAAUUUUAUUUUUGCAAAUAAAAAUUAAAAUAUGAAAUUUUUAUUUAUAAAAGAAAAAAUAAAAAAAUAAAUUUCGGAAGUAGACGGUCAAUGCAUCUAAAGUUACGUGCCCAAAGUCAACGGGGACAUCUAAUUUGGGAUGGAGGUAGUAUUUGAGAAGUCAUAAAAGUUGCAGAAAAUGAAAGUCCUGCCUAACGAUGGAAAGUCUCGAAAUUAAAACUGAAUUUUUUAUUGGAAGGAAAGAUAUGCUAGAGAAUGAAAAGAUUGGUAAUGAUGGUAAAUAUCGACUAGGAGGAAGGAACGUACCUCCUAUUUACAUAGAAAUGAUUGAAUUUGCUGUUAUAGGUGAUAGGUAGCUUUGUAUAUAAACUCUCUUUAGUCAUUGUAAUUCUAUAUACAUAUUUGAGUGAUUGCAAGUUGAAUUAGGUUAUCGUGAAGCUUUGUAUUUUGUACAUAGAGAGUUUGUGUAUUGAGUUUGUAAUUGCAAGAGUUGCUGGUGCAACUACUAAGGUUUCUGUACGCAUUUGUAAAGAAAGUUUUAACUUGUUCAUAUAUAUACAUAUAGUUGUUUUUAUCAUUGUGUUUAUUGAUUAUUCGUUGCUUGAAUAUUUGUUUUAAUAAUUGAUAAACGGACAUUGUUUUACGGUACUCAUAUUCAACCCCACCUUGUACAAGUACAUUGUUAGGAAUAUGUUAGGCUUGAUGAUAAGUUAAAACAGUUAGUGUAAUUUUGGUUAAGUAAAUGUAGCGACCAAUUUGUAAAUAUUUAAUAUUCUAAGUAUGUAAACUACUCAAGUGAAGUGAAGAUUAACGACUAAAUCUAAGCUAUCAACGGAUGAGGAAUAAAAUUUCAUCAACGACUAAUACAGAUAAGCUAUCAACUGAUAAUAAGAAGCAAUUAAUGGCCAAGUCAUGAAAGCUAUUAACAGCUAUCACAUUGGUUUAUUAUUUGCUAAAUCAAGCAUUAUCAGUUGACAGCUACAAUAGAGAAAAAAGACAACAGUCAUAUGGGAUGGGAUGAUCAAAUAAAGUUUAAUUUGUUUCGGAAGCUAAGACAAGUAAAGGCUAGCACUAUGUUGAUCAAAUAUAUGUGUUGGAAGAAGAUGAAGAAUCAUCUUUUCGAUAUACAAUUUCAGUAGCAACAUCUUUCUUUCUGAAGAAGAUGAUUAAUGAAUGGAUGAGCUGAUUAUCCUUCUGGAUUUUCUUACAAUGAGUUACCCAUGACUUUGGAAGAACUUUAACUAGCUCGUUUUUAAAAAUUUGCUUUGGCACAUGAAUACAUGAGCUUGGUUGAGCAUCAAAUUGUAGAAAUAGUGCAUUAUUUGUAUCUCAGGGAAGACUGGGGUCAAAUAAAUGGUUUUGAAAUAUUCUAUAGGUCAUUUAAUACAGAAGACUGGCAAUAUAAGUUUUUGAAAUUUGCAGUGCUCCAAUAAUCUGAAGCUAAACUUUGAGAUUCUUUUAGAUAAAAGGGUCACCAAGCCUCAAAUUGAAGUUUGGGAAAAGCGUUACAAAAAUUGUACCAGCUUUUAACGUGGUUUGAACAAUAGCUGCUUAUGCACCAAAAGUGUCAUCCUUGCAAAAACUAGUAGUCAUUUCCUUCAUAGAGGGUUAGAGGCAUUCUAACAGCUCCAAAAUGAAGUUGAGAAAAGUUUUGCAUCCGUCACUGCUUUGGCAACGAAUCUCCCAACAAAAUAGAAAGAAUAUGGACUUGCUCGAGCUUUGAAAUCAAGACUAGAUCUUUAGCUUCUAAAUAAGAAGAAAGAACAUUAUGUUUUUUAGUGAAAGCUCGAUAUGGGUUUAGCAAAGAAAGUUAUGUGAUAGUAAUCUUAUUAUCUUCAUUGUUGUAAUUUAUAGAUUCAAGAAAAUCACAUUUUUUAUUGAGAGGAAGAAAAGAGUUCUUAGAAGAAAAAAAAGGAUGAAGAAGAUAGUUGGUCGGCUUAGGGACAACUUGAUAGAUAUCAAUCUAGCAUAUCAAUAAUACGAUGAUACUUGUAUUAAUAUCUUUAUCAUAAAAGAUAAGAUUCUUUAUUUAAAAUUAUUACUUCCAUUUUACUAUAUAUUUCCACACAUUUUUAUUGGACUAUAUAUUUUCUUCCAUUGGACUAUAUAUUUUAAAAGAUUUUUGACUAACCUGUGUUAUUGGACUAUAUAUUUUCUUACAAAAUAUCUAUAUAUUUUUAAAAGAUUUUUGACAAUCAAGUCGAGACGUAAUUCUUGAUUAUGAGUUCCUGAUAUAUCUAUAAGAGGUGUAAAAUUUUUCAAUUUAGGCAAAGUUUCGGUUUCUUGAAUAGAAAUCCACUCCGAAUCCUUAUGUAGGACUCCAGGUUGAAGUUAUGGAUUAUUUGGUUCAUGGGCGUCUAGAAUCAGGUAUGGAGUUUGUUCAUUCCAAAUUCAUAUCUAGUGUUUGGUUAGAGAAUAUAAAAUCUUAAACCCCCAAGAUAUGGGUUUUGAUACCCAAGUGGGGAGUUAGGUAUUAUGCAUUCAUUUUUAAUUUUUUUGGCCUUUAUUUAAGUAAUGAAAUAUUAAUAUUAUAUACAAAAUUAAAUCAAUGAUGCAAAAAAUAACUUAUUAAUAACUUAAUAACUUAAUAUAAAUUAAUAACUUAUUUUUUACAAAAAUAAUGUAUAUAUAAAUUUCAACACUCAACGAACACAUGAUAUCAUAUAUGAUAUCUCAAAGGAUCAAACUCAUAAAUUCAUACCCAACUUAACCCGAUUACUCCUUCCACCACAUGUAACUCCUCGAAACCAAAUACAGUCUUUAUUUUCAAACCGAAUUUGGGUUACUCAACCCAAUAAAGUCUUUAUUUUCAAACCGAAGUUGGGCUCCCAUCAUGAAUUCUGGGCUUAUAUUUAAUUAAACAUCAAGUAUAAUUAAAUAAUUUAUUUUAGAUCAUAUAAUUAUAAAGUAUGAAAUUAAAUAUGGGGAAAACCCCAAAAGUUCAAAUUUAGGGAUGAAUAAUUUUUUUCUUUUUAAAAGAAAAUUCAUUUUAAAAUUUGAAAUGCGGAGAAGAAUUCUAAAAAUAUAAAAAUUGGGUAUAUUUUGUUUAUAAUCUAGGGAAAUCUACAAAACUACCUACCUUUUCUUUAAUUAUUUACAAAAAUACUACCUUCCAGAAUUAUUUUUAAAAAUACCUUUUCAUAAAAUUGUUUUUUCAAAAAUACUGUUUGCAACUUUUGCAACCUCAUUUGCAACUAGCCAGCCGUGUUGCAACCUCUUUUGCAACUUCAUCUGCAACUGAAUUUCUGAUUUCAAGUUCCAGUUUUCAAAUGUCAUUUUCGACCUCAUUUUCGGAAUCGAUAUAUAUAUAUAUAUAUAUCGAUUCCGAAAAUGAGGUCGAAAAUGACAUUUGAAAACUGGAACUUGAAAUCAGAAUUUGUAAUUGCAUAUAUGGUUGCAUAUGGUUGUAUUCAGUUGCAUAUGGUUGCAUUCAGUUGAUUCUAUUGUAUUCUAAUGGCCCCGCCAGGGGCACACCAUACAUCUGUUGUUACUUACAGUUUUCAGUUGCAUUUAGUUGCAACUGAGGUUGCAAAUGAAGUUGCAAAAGUUGCAACUGCAGUUGCAACCUCAUUUGCAACUUUUGCAACCUCAUUUACAACUAUAUAUAGUUUUCAGUUGCAUUAAGUUGCAACUGAAGUUGCAACUGCAGUAGCAACUGAAGUUGCAAAAGUUGCAACUGCAGUUGCAACUUUUGCAACCUCAUUUGCAACUUACUGUUUUCAGUUGAACUAGUUGCAACUGCAGUUGCAACCGUUGCAACUUUUCAUUUUUAUUUGCAACUUUUGCAACCUCAUUUGCAACUUUUACGGCUGCGCCGCCCAAGGUUGCAAAAGUUGCAAAUCGUAUUUUUGAAAAAAAAAUUUUAUGAAAAGGUAUUUUUAAAAACAAUGAAAAAGAUGGUAGUAUUUUUAAAAAAAUGAUUUUACAGAUGGGUAUUUUUAAAAAGAUCCCUAUAAUUUAAUAUGAUGAAUAUUUAUUGAAUCAUUAUAGAUUAAUUUUCUCUUUUCCCCUGAAUUUAUAAUUUUUUGUUUGUACCGGAAAAAAAUUGUUUCUUAUUUCCCAUGUUCUCAUAUUUAAAAAUAUUUUUCUCUAUAAAAAUAUAUUCUACUAUUCCCCUUUUUUUUUUUUGAUUUUCUAGUAUAUUUCUUAAAAUCAAUCUCUUAUUUCUAUAUUGAAUUUAAAUAUUAUUAGUUUUAUUAUAUAUUUCCUAUAAUCGAAAUUUUAAUUUCGUCCCUAUAUUCGAAUAUUCUCUUAUUCCCAAUUUUACUUUUUCAUUUUUUCCUAAAUUUGAUUUUUCUAUUUCUAUUAUUAUAAAAUGUUUUUCUAAUUUGUAAUAGUUUGAGUAGACAAAAUUCUAAUACAGUAAUCGCCUAUAGUAUUUUCUUGUUAAAUAGCCCUGCAAAUAUACAAUAUACAAUUAAAAGACAGUAGUAGUAAAAGAGAAAAAAGGAGAAAGAAAUGUUUCGACUGUUAGUUACUAGGAGGCCAUUGCGUAGUGAUUCACAUCAUCAUCAAUCUUUCUAGGAGGCCAUUGCGUAGUGAUUCACAUCAUCAUCAAUCUUUCGCCAUGGCGACAUUAAUCUCUUACUGUGUUCGUAGUGUUAAAGAAAGCGCGAAGGUAUUUUAUUGUAUUCAUUUCUAUCAAUUCUUUAUUUCUUCUGCACAUUCUUGACUCUGAAUAAUUUAUUGUAUUCGUUUUUAUCAGUUCUUGAUUUCUUUCUUGACUCUGAAUAAUUUAUUGUAUUCGUUCCUAUCAAUUCUUGAUUUCUUCUGCACAUUCUUGACUCUGAAUAAUUUAUUGUAUUCGUUUCUAUCAAUUCUUGUUUUUUUUCAUAGUGUCUCCGUCAAUCUUGAUUUGUUUUCUGUCUAAUCAUGUUCUGUUUGAUUUAACUGCUAUUGAUUUCAUAAUUACAGUUCUUGAAAACUAGGCACAUAAGCACAACUAUAUCUUCUGCUGCUAGACAUGUCCCUACAAGCCAGGGAUGCAGCUGGGAUUAUCCAGGUAGAAGAAAUAACCCUGUAUAUAAACAAUAAAACCACUGAGACAUUGCUUGUUUUCUGAUACUGUCAUAUACUCUCAGGGGUACUCUUGGCCAGGAAUAUCACUGAUCCAAGCACUCCCAGUGUAGCAGCAGUUCUCAGAGGUUCACAAAAUGUAUGCAGACCACCGAGAAGACCAAUCCCUGAGGAAGGUAAACACUAUACCAUAUAAGUAUGACAACAAUAAAACCUCCAACAUUCUUAAUUAAUUAUUAUUAUUGCGCUCUUAGAAACGAUUUACACUUGUAGAUAGACGACUAAUUCUAAGAAUCCAGAUCUUACCUGGGUACUUAAAUUUCAAUAUCCACUGCCUGGCCACGGCAAGGUACAACGAUCUAUCCAAGUACCUAACAGAUGAACAAAAAAGGAGGGACUCUGAAAAAAGAAGAAGUGAAUCUAAGCUAGAAAGCAUCUACGUCAGCGAACCUCAGCAGAAUGUCAAAGAAGUCGUCAUGGUAAUCACUUUUCACUUUAGGAAUUUAAAAUGUGAAACAUAGGCUUUUAAUUGAUUGUUUUUAUAUCUAUGAUUUAGGAGAUCAAAAACCUACCCUUCCGGAAGAGGGUAGGUUUUUUUACUUUGGGCGGAAAAAAUUCUCGCUUACAGUGGUGAAUUUUUUUGAAUAAUAAUUGACUAAUUUCGGU
rnacentral:lncRNA from 1 species